UCUGAUUGGCUGCAGUCGAAAUUGACACAUGCUCCGCCCUUUAGCCACGCCCACUGGUGCUCAGGCCUGCAGCAUUACCCUUUUCUAAUAUGGGUGCAGCUAAUCGCGUUACGGCUGCGUCACCGGUGUUACGUAAGCACGCAGCCCUCGCCUCGAGCUCCAGCAGGCUAAUAUAAAUAAUGAUUUAUUUAUGUUCAGGAGAGAAACUGCGGCGGAGCUGGAGGAACAGCAGCCCACCUGAGAGGAGCUUCAGACCGGCCCUGAGGUGCGGGUAACGAGGGAGAUGAGGGAGGGGAGGAUGAAGAAGAGAUGAGAAGCUAAAAGGAGGAAGAGCAAGACAACAGCGAGUCCACGGAUGAAGACUACAGGCGGAGGAUGAGGAUGAGGAAGAGGAGGAAGCCUAAUAACGAUUCAUCUCCUGUCAUCACUAAGCCUGCACUGCACUUGUCCUGAAACACCAGCCAGCGUUCUCAAAAACGAAGCUUUCUGAGCGACGCCAAAGAAGAACCACUUUGUUUUAUUUUUAAAUGGGAUUUGGGUGUGAAGAACUUUUUACUCUGGUAAAGAACCUUUAUGUAUAGUUAAGAGAAAAUUAAACCAUGUGACUCUUU